UUAUAUUUUUGAAGCAUUUAUAAAGUUUAUUUGUAGAUUAAUAGUUGUUUAUUUUUGUAGUUUGCUUUGUUGUUUACCUUUGUAAGUCAGUCAGGAAAAAUCACCGUGUCAUUUUGUAUAAGUAGGCACUGGUAUAGGACCAGCAUGCACUGGGGUGGGCGUAUGGUUUUUUUUACCAGAGCAGGAGAAGCAGCAGGAAACAAUGGAAAACAGGAUCUGUGUUUUAUUGCUUGCCAACCUGGAAAAUAAACCUUGAAGAAAAUGCAGCUUUUAAGUUUGGACAGUGAACUUCUUCUGCCUGCGUACGAAACGUUACCACAGUGCAGCCACUACAUCAAGUAAAAAACCUAGCCCUUGGAACAGAAGGAAUGUUUCUUCCCUGAUGGGCAUGUUGGAAAGGUGGAUCUUGAGGACUGUCCUCAAACAAAAGGUUGGAUCUGGUCCUUUUUGAGGAAUUCAAUUAGACUUCCUGCUUCAGGCCCGGGUCAUCGUGUCACUGACUCAUCAAAGCUGGUGAGUGAAAAAUGUUGUUUAAACCGUAAAGGAAAAUGGUAAAAGAAGGUUGAAGACAAUAUUUUACUGCAAAAAAGACUGAUGAUGUGCCAAGCUGAUGCAUAACUGGAUGUUUGAAAGGUGACAAAGCCCAUUGUGGAAAUGUUUGCUUGCUGCAGCCUACAAUCCUAAACAAAGAAAAGCAUCUGUGCUUUAUGCUAAGGAUUCUCAGAGUUCUGUGCAGCUUUAAGUCUCAGAAAUAAUUAAUAAAACUGCUAAAAUGGCUGAUGUCAAAAGUAAACAAGAGGAUGGCACUCAAAUGCUGAAAGAGAAAAGAAACAUUAAAUUUACACCAAAGGGUUUGUAGCUUUACAUUAAAACAUGCCAAGAAAAGCGGAGUUCAUUGUGUAAACAAAGCUCAAAGUACAUGGAGAAAAUAUCCACUUUAAUGAUGUCACAUGAAAAUGUUGAUGAAGGGUCUUCUGAUUUUGCCAAAUUUAUUAAAUGCUAUCAAGAUGACGCGGAUGUGCGUGAAUCAUUUUUAAGUUUGCCAUUGCCAGAAGAGGAACUGAAAAGACAAGCUGUGUACUUUAACCCCAAGGUGAAGGUGUUCUCUGAAUUUAAGCACACAGUAAAGGUUUGGUUGCAGGAAGCAGGCAAUCCCUUCACAGAACAAAACAGAGAUGUUUCUGAUAAUCAAGUUGCUGAAAAUCCAGAUGAAAUAAACCCUGAAGAUAGUGUCUCCAAUAUUUCAAGUGUAAAACUUUGAUCAAAAGCCUCUUCUCAAUCCCGAAUAUCAUCAACGUCUUCUGCACGCAUCAAGGCUGCAGCUGAUCAGGCAGCACUCAAAGAGCGAGUAGCUGCGUUGAAGAAAAAACAUUUGAUUGAAGAUCAAGAGGAAAGGCUGAGAAAGGAUAAGGAGAAAUUAGCUUUGGAAACAGAGUUGGCAGCAACCAAUGCAAAGCUUCACAGUUUGGAAACAAACUCAGUUUGCGGUUCAAAAUGAUCGGAUGGAAUGAACUCUUAUUUUGAAGGAGGCCACGUACAGAAGCCGACUCAGCUAAAUCCUAAUGCAGACACGUUUACUCCAAAAGAACAAGAUCAUUCUGUUCUAAAUCCUGCUUCUGAACCACAGGUUGUCCGACCCAAACAAAGACAACAUCAACCUCAAGUGGAACUAAAAAUGAAAAAGGUUGAUGCUCCGGCUCAAGCAACGCAGCAAACUUUGCGUCAAUGUUCACCUUUGGCCGAAGACUGUCAGAAGGAUAUUGUGAACAUAAUGCAGAAACAAAAUGAUAUCACUGCCUUACUUGUGAAGCAAAAUGUAUUUUCUGUCCUCCCCGCCAGAAAUAUCCCUGUGUUUGAUGGAGACCCAUUACAGUACAGAUCUUUUAUAAACGCCUUUGAAAACGGAGUGGAGGCUAAAACUGACAGCUGGAGCGACUGCUUGCACUUUCUAGAGCAGUUUACUAGGGGGCAGUCUAAAGACUUGGUUCAUAGCUGUCAGCAUUUGCCUCCUGAACAAGGCUAUUCCAGAGCUAAAUAUCUUCUUGAAGAACAUUUUGGAAAUGAAAGUAAAAUCACCUCUGCAUACAUGGAGAAGAUGAUGAGUUGGCCACUAAAUAAAAGUGAGGAUGUGAAAGGCCUUCAAUCAUUCUCUCUAUUUCUUCAAGGAUGUUCAAAUCGAACAGAGCAAUUGUUCUACAUGCAGGAGUUGGAUUUGCCUUCAAAUAUGAGAAUGAUUGUAAUGAAACUUUCAUACAAGUCGAGAGAAAAAUGGAGAGUGGUUGCCUACGAGCUGCAAGAACAAAAUGGACACAGAGCAGUGUUCACUGAUCUGGUUGCUUUUAUGAUAAAACAAGUGAAGGUAGCAUCAGAUCCAGUGUUUGGCCACAUUCAAGACUCACAACCUGGCAGCAACUCUAAAGUUCCAGGUGCUAUAAAGCAAAAGAAAAAAGGAAGCAGUUUUGCUACCAAUGUCAGCACAGUUCCAGGAGUUAAACUGAAAACUGGACCAGAUCCAGUGGUCUCCACAGCUGUUUGUUCUGUUCAAAAAGUAAUCACUUAUUGGAGAACUGUAUGCUGUUCAAAGCUAAGAUGCAUCAAGACAAGUUGACAUUCAUCAAGGAAAAGGGGAUUUGUUUUGGUUGUUUAAAGGUUGGUCACACUAGCAAAGACUGUAGGAGUCGUUUGGAUUACAAUGUGUGUCAUCAAAAGCACCCAGAGGUUCUUCAUAUUGAGGGAAGGGAACCAGAUGCAUCCUUACAACCAACCCACCAGACAACAAAGUCUCAUGUCAACUUCUCAACUGCAACUACUCAGACAUGUGGGCAUAUUGGGGCUGGUCAUGACGAUGAUGCAGUUUUUUCUGUUGUUGCAGUUCAAGUUAAAAGUCAAAAGAGCAAGAAAAUUGUACAAGUGUAUGCAUUUCUGGAUCCUGGAAGUUCAGGUACAUGUUGUACAGAAACUCUGGCAAAAAGACUGAAUGUACAAGGUAAAAGGACAAAAAUUCUGCUGAGAACAAUGAGUCAAAAUAAAAUUGUUAACGCACAAGUUGUAUCUGGUUUGGAAGUGUCUGGAUUGGAGGUAAAGGAGUUGAUUGAUGUUUUGACUCAAAAGUCCAUGCCAGUUUGAAUAUUCCCAAACAGGAAGAUAUUGAUCAGUGGCCUCAUCUGAAACAUGUCAGGCUCCAUCACAUUGAUGCAGAUGUGGAGCUACUGAUUGGAACUGAUGCUUCAAAUGUUCUAGAGCCAUGGGAGCUGAUCAACAGUGUGGAUGGUGGACCUUAUGCUGUAAAGACCAAAGUUGGUUGGGUCAUAAAUGGUCUUUUGCGCAUUGGAGUUAACAGCAGAAACAAAAAUGAGUGCACUAUUGCAACAGCCAAUAUGAUCUGUGUGGAACAUCUUAAAGAAAUGUUGGUUCAGCAAUACAAUCAUGAUUUUAAUGAAUGAUCCUCAGAGUAGCAGACUGAAAUGUCCAGAGAAGAUCUGUGUUUCAUGGACAUUGUUAGUAGCUCAAUAAAGCUGAUUGGAAAUCAUUAUCACAUGGAUUUACCUUUCAAGAAAAAAGGUCCUAACUUGCCAAAUAACUUCUGUGUUGCACAUCAGCGUCUUCAGAGCCUAAAAAGGAGAUUCAAAAAGGAUGCUGUCUGCAUGAAGGAAUACGCUGCAUGUGUGAAGACCAUUCUAGAAAAGGGACAUGCUGAAGCUGUGUCAGCAGAUGAGCUGCAGAAAAGUGAUGGAAAUGUGUGGUACAUUCCUCAUCAUGGAGUGUACCAUCCCACAAAAGGCGAGCUGAGAGUUCUAUUUGACUGCGGAACAACCUACGAAGGAUUCAUUGUUCAAGUCAUUGAACAGUCAACUUCUACAGGGGCCUGACCUCACAAACUCAUUGGUGGGGGUUCUCCUUCGAUUUAGGCUUGACAUAAAUGCUAUGUUUUACCAAGAAUAUGUCUCAGAAAAGCAUGUUGACUUUCUAAGAUUCCUCUGGUGGCCUCAAGGUGACACUGCAGAGCCUGCACAGGAGGAUGAAGGUGCACCUGUUUGGAGCAGUAUCUUCACCCAGCUGUGCAAACUAUGCACUGCAGAGGACUGCAGAUGACAAUGCACAGCAGUCUCCAGCUGAAGCGGUAAAAACAGUCAAAAGGAAUGUUUAUGUGGAUGACUGUUUAAAAUCUGUUGCUUCAGAGGAAGAUACAAUGCAGAUAGUGAAGCAACUGACUGAUAUUUGCAUUAAAGGAGGAUUCCAUCUUUCCAAAUGGAUCAGCAACAGUCGCACUGUGCUCACGUCAAUCCCAGAGGAAAGAAAAGCAACUGAAGUUGAGAAUCUGGACUUGGACAACAAUCAACUUCCAGUUGAGAGAGCACUAGGCUUACAGUGGUGCACAGAAACCGAUCAGUUCACGUUCAGAACCUCUGUGCAGGAUCGUCCACAAACCAGAAGAAGCAUUUUGUCUGUGGUUGGCUCUCUAUACGAUCCGUUGAGAGUCUUGGCUCCCUUCAUUAUGCCAGCUAAGCUGUUGUUUCAAGAACCUUUUCAACAGAAUUUGAAGUGGGAUGAAGCUAUUCCCCACUUUCUCUCCAAGCGAUGGCGUAAUUGGCUGGAGGACCUUCAGCUGAUUUCAACAUUCGAAGUGGAACGUUGCAUCAAACCAAGUUCCAUUGGAUAACCAGACAAAGCUCAACUUCAUCAUUUUUCAGAUGCAAGUCAAUGGAACAGUGUCCUAUUUAAGACUGGAAAAGGAUAACAUCACACAUGUGGCCUUUAUUCUGGGAAAAGCUAGAGUUGCUCCUCUGAAGCAAACUACAAUCCCCAGGCUGGAGUUGACUGCUGCAGUCCUUGCAGCCCGAGUAAACAAAUAGCUGCAAAAGGAGCUGGAAAUAAAGUUGGAGAAAUCUGUUUUCUGGACUGAUAGUACCACUGUACUGAAGUACAUCACCAAUGAAACCAGAAGAUUUAACACCUUUGUUGCAAACAGAAUUUCUGUUAUUAGAGAAACAACAGAUGGGAAUCAAUGGAGAUACAUUUCCUCCAAGGAAAACCCUGCAGAUGACGGAUCCAGAGGCCUGAGAGCGGAGGACUUCCUUAAAGGUGGAAGAUGGAUACAUGGUCCAGAAUUUCUCUACGCCAAACAGAGGAAUAUGAAGAAGAGAAAUAUUAUGCCAGGCAGUACCUGGAGGACUCACAGUUUGAAAGUGAGAGGGAAGGCACUAAACGAAAAGUUAAGAACAACAAGCGGUAUCAAGUUCCGAUGAUGAAUACGGUCCAUGUGCCCCUGAGAGAAAGAGGGCUCCUGUGGCAAGGAGGAUGCUGUUGCCAACUGAACCAUCCAGUGGAGAUGGUGUCUACCCGCCCAACUUCAGCAGGUGUCACUGAUUAGCCUUAACAUGAAAGUGAGAGAACCUACAGUACAAACAUUUUGAGACCUGACGAAGGCCCUGUGGGCUGAAACGCGUCGGCAUUUAUGUUGUUAACUAUUUAAGCCAUGCACUAAUAAAGGCUUUUUAUUUUGUAUCACCUGAGUGCCUCAGAUCUCCUUUUGCC